AUACGUAGGGGGCAAGCGUUAUCCGGAAUUAUUGGGCGUAAAGGGUGCGUAGGCGGUCUAUUAAGUCUGAGGUGUAAGUGCAGGGCUCAACCCUGUGAUGCUUUAGAAACUGGUAGACUUGAGUGAGAUAGAGGCAAGUGGAGUUCCAUGUGUAGCGGUAAAAUGCGUAAAUAUAUGGAGGAACACCAGUGGCGAAGGCGGGUUGCUGGGUCUAUACUGACGCUGAGGCACGAAAGCGUGGGGAGCAAACAGGAUUAGAUACCCUGGUAGUCCACGCCGUAAACGAUGAGUACUAAGUGUUGCGAGAACGCAGUGCUGAAGUUAACAUAUUAAGUACUCCGCCUGAGUAGUACGUACGCAAGUAUGAAACUCAAAGGAAUUGACGGGG
rnacentral:rRNA from 1 species